rnacentral:rRNA from 1 species
GACGAACGCUGGCGGCGUGCUUAACACAUGCAAGUCGAGCGAUGAAAGCCUUAUGAACUAUUCGUAGUGAUUGGGGCCGGAUUAGCGGCGGACGGGUGAGUAACGCGUGAGCGACCAACCUUGCACAGGGGGAUAACGGACCGAAAGGUUCACUAAUACCGCAUAAGACCACGGUGUUGCAUGACACAGAGGUCAAAGGAGCAAUCCGGUGCAAGACGGGCUCGCGUUCGAUUAGGUAGUUGGAGGGGUAACGGCCCACCAAGCCUAUGAUCGGUAGCCGACCUGAGAGGGUGAUCGGCCACAUUGGAACUGAGAUACGGUCCAAACUCCUACGGGAGGCAGCAGUGGGGAAUAUUGGGCAAUGGGGGAAACCCUGACCCAGCAACGCCGCGUGAAGGAAGAAGGUUUUCGGAUUGUAAACUUCUGUCCUUGGUGAAGAGAAGAAGACGGUAGCCAAGGAGGAAGCCCCGGCUAACUACGUGCCAGCCGCCGCAGUAA